rnacentral:rRNA from 1 species
CCCCCCUUGACCUCAAAUCGGGUGAGACUACCCGCUGAACUUAAGCAUAUCAAUAAGCGGAGGAAAAGAAACUAACAAGGAUUCCCCUAGUAACUGCGAGUGAAGCGGGAAAAGCUCAAAUUUAAAAUCUGGCGGUCUUUUGGCCGUUCCGAGUUGUAAUUUAGAGAAGCGUCUUCCGCGCCGGACCGUGCACAAGUCUCCUGGAAUGGAGCGUCAUAGAGGGUGAGAAUCCCGUCUUUGGCACGGACCCCCGGUGCUUCUGUGAUGCGCUCUCAAAGAGUCGAGUUGUUUGGGAAUGCAGCUCAAAAUGGGUGGUGAACUCCAUCUAAAGCUAAAUAUUGGCGAGAGACCGAUAGCGAACAAGUACCGUGAGGGAAAGAUGAAAAGCACUUUGGAAAGAGAGUGAAACAGUACGUGAAAUUGUUGAAAGGGAAACGCUUGAAGUCAGUCGCGUCGUUCGAGACUCAGCCCUCGCCUCGGCUUGGUGUACUUCUCGAUCGACGGGCCAGCAUCAAUUUCGUCCCUCGGAUAAUGGCAAGGGAAAGGUGGCAUCCUCACGGGUGUGUUAUAGUCUCCUGUCACAUGCGAGGGGUGGGAUUGAGGAACUCAGCACGCUCCUUUUCUAGGGGUCGGAGCUUCGGCUCACGUUACGUGCUUAGGAUGUUGGCGUAAUGGCUUUAAACGACCCGUCUUGAAACACGGACCAAGGAGUCUAACAUGCCCGCGAGUGUUCGGGUGGAAAACCCGUGCGCGUAAUGAAAGUAAAAGUUGGGACCUCUGUCGUGGAGGGCACCGACGCCCGGACCAGACCUUCUGUGACGGCUCUGCGGUAGAGCGUGCAUGUUGGGACCCGAAAGAUGGUGAACUAUGCCUGAAUAGGGUGAAGCCAGAGGAAACUCUGGUGGAGGCUCGUAGCGAUUCUGACGUGCAAAUCGAUCGUCAAAUUUGGGUAUAGGGGCGAAAGACUAAUCG